rnacentral:rRNA from 1 species
ACGUGAUCUGAGUUCAGACCGGAGAAAUCCAGGUCAGUUUCUAUCUAUAAAGGGCUUUUUCUAGUACGAAAGGACCGAAAAAGCAUGGCCAAUGACCAAUUAAGCCAUAUAAAUUACUCAUGCUUUCAACUUAAUUAGAGAUAAACCUGCCACAAAUCUCAAAAAAAGAGAA